rnacentral:rRNA from 1 species
GAUGAACGCUGGCGGCGUGCCUAACACAUGCAAGUCGGGCGAACAGACGAGGAGCUUGCUCCUCUGACGUUAGCGGCGGACGGGUGAGUAACACGUGGAUAACCUACCUAUAAGACUGGGAUAACUUCGGGAAACCGGAGCUAAUACCGGAUAAUAUAUUGAACCGCAUGGUUCAAUAGUGAAAGACGGUUUUGCUGUCACUUAUAGAUGGAUCCGCGCCGCAUUAGCUAGUUGGUAAGGUAACGGCUUACCAAGGCGACGAUGCGUAGCCGACCUGAGAGGGUGAUCGGCCACACUGGAACUGAGACACGGUCCAGACUCCUACGGGAGGCAGCAGUAGGGAAUCUUCCGCAAUGGGCGAAAGCCUGACGGAGCAACGCCGCGUGAGUGAUGAAGGUCUUCGGAUCGUAAAACUCUGUUAUUAGGGAAGAACAAAUGUGUAAGUAACUAUGCACGUCUUGACGGUACCUAAUCAGAAAGCCACGGCUAACUACGUG